rnacentral:rRNA from 1 species
ACAAAUGCCCUGCUUCCAGGAAAAGCCUCUAAGCAUCAGGUAACAUCAAAUCGUACCCCAAACCGACACAGGUGGUCAGGUAGAGAAUACCAAGGCGCUUGAGAGAACUCGGGUGAAGGAACUAGGCAAAAUGGUGCCGUAACUUCGGGAGAAGGCACGCUGAUAUGUAGGUGAAGCGACUUGCUCGUGGAGCUGAAAUCAGUCGAAGAUACCAGCUGGCUGCAACUGUUUAUUAAAAACACAGCACUGUGCAAACACGAAAGUGGACGUAUACGGUGUGACGCCUGCCCGGUGCCGGAAGGUUAAUUGAUGGGGUUAGCGGUAACGCGAAGCUCUUGAUCGAAGCCCCGGUAAACGGCGGCCGUAACUAUAACGGUCCUAAGGUAGCGAAAUUCCUUGUCGGGUAAGUUCCGACCUGCACGAAUGGCGUAAUGAUGGCCAGGCUGUCUCCACCCGAGACUCAGUGAAAUUGAACUCGCUGUGAAGAUGCAGUGUACCCGCGGCAAGACGGAAAGACCCCGUGAACCUUUACUAUAGCUUGACACUGAACAUUGAGCCUUGAUGUGUAGGAUAGGUGGGAGGCUUUGAAGUGUGGACGCCAGUCUGCAUGGAGCCGACCUUGAAAUACCACCCUUUAAUGUUUGAUGUUCUAACGUUGGCCCGUAAUCCGGGUUGCGGACAGUGUCUGGUGGGUAGUUUGACUGGGGCGGUCUCCUCCUAAAGAGUAACGGAGGAGCACGAAGGUUGGCUAAUCCUGGUCGGACAUCAGGAGGUUAGUGCAAUGGCAUAAGCCAGCUUGACUGCGAGCGUGACGGCGCGAGCAGGUGCGAAAGCAGGUCAUAGUGAUCCGGUGGUUCUGAAUGGAAGGGCCAUCGCUCAACGGAUAAAAGGUACUCCGGGGAUAACAGGCUGAUACCGCCCAAGAGUUCAUAUCGACGGCGGUGUUUGGCACCUCGAUGUCGGCUCAUCACAUCCUGGGGCUGAAGUAGGUCCCAAGGGUAUGGCUGUUCGCCAUUUAAAGUGGUACGCGAGCUGGGUUUAGAACGUCGUGAGACAGUUCGGUCCCUAUCUGCCGUGGGCGCUGGAGAACUGAGGGGGGCUGCUCCUAGUACGAGAGGACCGGAGUGGACGCAUCACUGGUGUUCGGGUUGUCAUGCCAAUGGCACUGCCCGGUAGCUAAAUGCGGAAGAGAUAAGUGCUGAAAGCAUCUAAGCACGAAACUUGCCCCGAGAUGAGUUCUCCCUGACUCCUUGAGGGUCCUGAAGGAACGUUGAAGACGACGACGUUGAUAGGCCGGGUGUGUAAGCGCAGCGAUGCGUUGAGCUAACCGGUACUAAUGAACCGUGAGGCUUAACCUU